rnacentral:lncRNA from 1 species
UUGCAGACCUGGCACAGCCUCAUAUACGCUCUGCCACCGUGGUUUUUAAAAGCAAGCGAGGUAUAAUAACAUCAGGGACCGGAUUACAUGAAGAAGUCCGUUGUGACAACUACGCAAAUCCUUUGGCUGAAAUAGCACAACAUGAUGCAGAAGACAGUGCAGUGAAAGUGGCUCCUCCUGAGACAGUGCAAGUUCACGGGAUCAAUGUUUCUUGGAUUUUUGUUCCUUCAAAAAAAUUUUUAAAGCCUGAGUUUGGGGUCCAGUACAGAUCUGCUGCUCAGAGCUGGAAGGAUGUGGAAAAUUUUAUCGUAAAUACUAAAGAAACUCAAUUGGAGCUGCCAGAGGACCAUUUGCUGUUAAAUCAGCAGUACGUGAUCAGGGUGAGAGUCAAGUAUCAAGAGAGUAAACUGCCCAAUGCUGUGUGGAGCGACUGGAGUGAAGAGUACAGGUGGACAUCUGCUGUGGGUCAGACGCCCCACACACCAGGUAACACACACACACACACACACUCACGCACACGCACACACACGCACACGCACACG